CCCUUAGAUGUUCUGGGCCGCACGCGCGCUACACUGACGAAGUCAGCGAGCAUCUCCUACGCCGAAAGGUGCGGGGAAUCUUGUGAAACUUUGUCGUGCUGGGGAUUGAUUUUUGAAAUUCUUGAUCAUAAACGAGGAAUUCCUAGUAAGCGCAAGUCAGCAGCUUGCGUUGAUUACGUCCCUGCCCUUUGUACACACCGCCCGUCGCUACUAUCGAUUGAAUGGUUUAGUGAGAUGUUUGGACCGGAACUCUCUUGCUCAGCAAUGGGCGAGAGAGAGUCUGGGAAGUCCCUCUAACUGUAUCAUUUAGAGGAAGUAAAAGUCGUAACA
rnacentral:rRNA from 1 species